rnacentral:lncRNA from 1 species
UUUAAGCGCUUCUAUCUAUUUUCACAAAAUUGUCUUGGUCUUUUACAGGUUUUAGUCCUCUUUCUCCAGCAAGGCCGUAAGUCCCAUGGGAGACAGGGAUCCUGCUAUAUCCUUUCUUUGCAUCUGGACUCACCAUCAUAAUACCUAGCACAGACUGGAGCUACUGAAGUCCUGCUGCCUGGAGUUGAACUAACAAGAGGGUUGAUCAUCUGUCAGUAUCAGAUACAAGUUUGCCCGUCAAAUAUCAAAGGAGCAGAAGGAAGAAGGCGUGGGAGUUAUUAAAGUCCUUUGGUUGAGAAAUGUCUCUCCGAAGAUCUCCCAGCCUCUUAUGACCACAGAGCAUGAGAAUAGAAAUGCUAAUGUGGCAUUAUGAGUGAGAGGUAAGGACUGUCCAGCCUUUUGUGGACAGGAGGCCUUUUGGGCUGAUUGAAAUGUGUGCAUACAGUAGAACGAAUGCCACCAACGGAUGUUCCCACAGUCGGCACUCAGAGAUAGCCCAGGCAUUGUCUGGAGGAGAUGGAUCUGAAGAUGAAGGUCUGACUAUGGGGAAAGAGACGCAACUGGAG